UUUUUAUGAACUCAAUUCAAAUUGUGCCUUAAUCCGUUGAUUUUUGACUGCAACUUUGACUCAAAAGAACUCGGAGUCCACUCGAAUGUUAGCAGUACAAGAAGAGAUUCUGGAAAAGGAGCUUGGUGAAAUUCAAAAGGUGCUACUAGCCAUGCAGGAGCAGCAGCAAAAACAGCUUGAACUGAUUCUUGCAAUUGGAAAGACUGGGAAGCUAUGGGAAAACAAGUAAUC